rnacentral:rRNA from 1 species
UACGGAGGGAGCUAGCGUUGUUCGGAAUUACUGGGCGUAAAGCGCACGUAGGCGGCUUUGUAAGUUAGAGGUGAAAUCCUGGAGCUCAACUCCAGAACUGCCUUUGAUACUGGCGAUCUUGAGUCCGGGAGAGGUGAGUGGAACUGCGAGUGUAGAGGUGAAAUUCGUAGAUAUUCGCAAGAACACCAGUGGCGAAGGCGGCUCACUGGCCCGGUACUGACGCUGAGGUGCGAAAGCGUGGGGAGCAACAGG